rnacentral:rRNA from 1 species
CGGAGGCUACCGCUAUUGGAGUUCGAUUAAGCCAUGCGAGUCGAGAGUCUUAGGGACUCGGCGUACCGCUCAGUAACACGUGGGUAACCUGCCCUAUGCUGGGGAAUAACCUCGGGAAAMUGAGAAUAAUGCCCCAUAGUCCACAAUGCCUGGAACGGUUUGUGGAUCAAAGCUCCGSCGGCAUAGGAUGGGCCUGCGGCGUAUCAGGUUGUAGGGGGUGUAACGUACCCUCUAGCCAUCAACGCGUACGGGUGUUGGGAGACAUAGCCCGGAGAUGGAUUCUGAGACACGAAUCCAGACCCUACGGGGUGCAGCAGGCGCGAAAACUUUGGCAAUGCGAGAAAUCGUGACCAGGGAACUCCAAGUGGCUGGGGUAAGACCCAGUCUUUUCUUGACUCUUCAAAGGUCUUGGAAUAAGGGGUGGGUAAGGACGGUGCCAGCCGCCGCGGUAAUACCGGCGCCUCAAGUGGUAGUCGAUUUUAUUGGGCCUAAAACGUCCGUAGCCUGUUUGGUACAUUCGUGGGUAAAUCAACCAGCUCAACUGGUUGAAUUCUGCGAGCACGGCCAGACUUGGGACCGGGAGAGGUGUGGGGUACGCUCAGGGUAGGGGUAAAAUCCUGUCAUCCUGAGCGGACCACCUGUUGCGAAGGCGCCACACUAGAACGGAUCCGACGGUCAGGGACGAAGCCUAGGGGCACGAACCGGAUUAGAUACCCGGGUAGUCCUAGGUGUAAACGCUGUGGACUUGGUGUUGGGGACUCUCCGGGAAUCCUCAGUGCCGAAGCGAAGGUGAUAAGUCCACUGCCUGGGGAGUACGGUCGCAAGGCUGAAACUUAAAGGAAUUGGCGGGG